UCUCUUUUAUCUCCGGCUUUAGGCUCAUUCACAGAUGAAACUCUUCUCCUUCUUAAUUUCUUAUCUAGCUUUCUGCUACUGCAUCUCUAUUCUUUAGAAUCUCCAGUAUAUUUCUUUUUUACUUCUUUUUAAUGAAAUCCAUCACUUGAGCAUAUCAUGGUUUGCUUUAUCUAUUGUUGCAGAGAUAUAUAAUCAAGGUUUGAUUUUGAUGAAAGAAGAAGACAAACGGAGUGGUAGUGAGAAAGUAACAGAGACUAGAAAAUGUGAUGCACAGAGAGAUUGAAGAAGAAUUUCUUCGGAGAAUUUCUUCAAACAGUUAUUGAGCGUGAACCGGUGUUGGUGGAGAUGAGCUUCUAUUUCUUCUUCUAACCCUUGUUUAUCUCCUUUCCUGCAAUUAACCGCAUAUCAAGACAAUCACAUAUCGCUUACACCAUUCAACAUCAGAUUACAGUGACAAACCGCGUCCAUUUGUUUCCUCCACUUCAAAUGGAAGCAAUAUUUCUUUUAUCUAAUCACUACCAUUCACAGCCACCGUUGAUCCUUGUGUAACAACUCAAACAGACCCAUCCACAGAAGAACACAUACUUCCCUCUUCUUGCGAUCAUCACCUGUAACAAUGGCAGCAACCCCCUUUUCAUGUUUCACAUUGAACCCAUUUUGUUCGCUGUCUAAAACAGUACAAUACCUAUUUCGAAAUUCCUUGCAAACCCUAGUCUUUAAGAGCUCGUAAUCACCAUUAAUAACAACAAUCGGAAAAAUGAUAGCAAAAACAAUUCUUGUUGAUUAAAAUUGAUAGUACAGUUCGGAGAAGGAGAAGGAGAAGGUGAAAGGAUGAGGGUUAUAUUGAAUGGGUAUUUUGUAAAUAUUAGUAGAAUUAGGGGUAUAAUUGUAAUCUCGUUUAUUUAUUUAAUUUAAUAUAAUUUUUCGUUUUAUUUACUAAA